CCAAAAUAACAAGUCACAGGAUGCCUGUCUAGAGGGUAGCUUUGCUGAAAAUAACCUGGAGACUGAACAGAAGUCAGCAGUGUGUCCUUGUGCAUUAGAAGAUAACUCUGUGCUGAGCCAAGGGCAUGCUGGACAUUAAUGAUUCUUCCUCAUUGUUCAGUUAUUGUGAGAGCAUUAUCUGGAGAACUCUGUGAAGUGUUAGUUCCCCAGUACAAGAAAGUCAUUGACAUGCUGGAGCAAGCUGGUGCAAGGAAGAUGGUCAAACAGAGGAAAACUCACCCAGGAAGGAGGCUCUGCCCUUCAAGAUAUUCAGUACAUAAUUGGGAGGGCUUAUGCUUAAAACCAUUGGAUGCUGCACUGGAUUUCAAGAUUCUCCUCUUCAAGAUCACCUACUUUGCACAGCCUUAUUCUGUAAAAAGAAAAAGAGAGCAAGAGACAGAGAGGAAUGUGCCCAGGACUCUGUGGUACCCAGGUCAGACAAGCCCAAAAAUCUCUUCCCGGGCUCUGCUCCAAUGAAUAUUUAAUCAUUCUAUGCAGAGUGUGAAAGAUGGCACGAGAAAGAUUUAGGCUUCCAGCCUAGAAAAAUCUGGCACCUUCUUAUAAUGUGGUAAAUACUGGGCAAUGAAAGGCUUUGAAGCCAGGUCUCCUCUCUCCCAGAGGUGUGUUUCAAUUGCAAGGCUCCUGAAGAAAAGCAGAGUUCCUCUUCUUUGCCUUCGUCAUCCUGUAGAGAGAAAAUAAAGAGGCUAAGUUUGCCUCACUGGAGCCAGAGAACAAGCUAAGUGUUCUUCUGUCUAUCCUGUGAAUCCUGAUGGGAUUUUAGCUAGAACUGAAAAUCCCCAGAGUUCAGGCUCUCGGGAUAUGUGCUGAGCAAAAUAUUACGGUGCUUAUGGUGCUUAAGUCACAGCUUACAGUGACUAAAGACUUAACCUGUGGAAACUUUGGAGUACUUUGAUAUGAUAUUUGCUAACUGUAUCAACUCUGUUGUUUGGAGGAAAUACCUUUUUGUACACUCCCAGUGGAACACUAACAAACUUUGAUCCUUCUGCAACUUUCUGUUUAUGGCAUAUUCAGGUAAUUCAAUUUCUGCUCAUUUUCUGUUCAUUCAUUCAAAAAAAAAAAAAAAAGUCUGUUAAAAUUCUUUUUGCUGACUAAUUACUAGAUCAAAGAAGGCCUGUUUACAAAAUGGAAAGCUUCCCAAAAAACAUUUUUGUUAGGGUUAAUGCAUGUAUGCAUUUUGAACAAAUAAUUUUAAAUUUUGGACAGCAUACUCAGAUUUUUGUUGUCCCAUUUUGUAAUAGAAUUUGAUUAAUUGUCUAAGAUAGUAUUUUUCUAAAUUAAGUAGAUUUUUUGUAGAAUCAUAUUGUUAAAACUGGGGAAAAGACUAAAAUUUGCAUCUUUUUUUUUUUUUUUUUUUUUUACCUAAACACAACAGGUGACUGUGAGAAUGCAAAGGGAGUUAAUAGGCAUGCAUAUUCAUGUUUUAGCUUUUUGAAAAAUAAGGUAUUGUUGUUAUACUCUGAAGUUUGGUGGC
rnacentral:lncRNA from 1 species